rnacentral:rRNA from 1 species
UACGGAGGGUGCGAGCGUUGUUCGGAAUCACUGGGCGUAAAGCGCGUGUAGGCGGCCCACUAAGUCUGAUGUGAAAGCCCGGGGCUCACCCCCGGAAGUGCAUUGGAAACUGGUGGACUCGAGUCCCGGAGAGGAGAGUGGAAUUCCUGGUGUAGCGGUGAAAUGCGUAGAUAUCAGGAGGAAUACCGAUGGCGAAGGCAGGUCUCUGGGCUGACACUGACGCUCAUGCACGAAAGCGUGGGGAGCAAACAGG